GCUCAGAAUCAACGCUGGCGGCGUGCCUAACACAUGCAAGUCGAACGAGAAAGUGGAGCAAUCCAUGAGUACAGUGGCGCACGGGUGAGUAACACGUGACUAACCUACCCUUGAGUGGGGGAUAACUGAGGGAAACCUUAGCUAAUACCGCAUAAUACCUACGGGUCAAAGGAGCAAUUCGCUUUAGGAGGGGGUCGCGGCCGAUUAGUUAGUUGGCGGGGUAAUGGCCCACCAAGACGAUGAUCGGUAUCCGGCCUGAGAGGGCGCACGGACACACUGGAACUGAAACACGGUCCAGACUCCUACGGGAGGCAGCAGUGGGGAAUUUUGCGCAAUGGGGGAAACCCUGACGCAGCAACGCCGCGUGGAGGAUGAAGUCCUUCGGGACGUAAACUCCUUUCGAUCGGGACGAUUAUGACGGUACCGGAAGAAGAAGCCCCGGCUAACUUCGUGCCAGCAGCCGCGGUAAUACGAGGGGGGCGAGCGUUGUUCGGAAUUAUUGGGCGUAAAGGGUGCGUAGGCGGUUUGGUAAGUCUUGUGUGAAAUCUCCAGGCUCAACUUGGAGUCUGCACGAGAAACUGCCGGGCUUGAGUGUGGGAGAGGUGAGUGGAAUUCCUGGUGUAGCGGUGAAAUGCGUAGAUAUCAGGAGGAACACCUGUGGCGAAAGCGGCUCACUGGACCACAACUGACGCUGAUGCACGAAAGCUAGGGGAGCAAACAGGAUUAGAUACCCUGGUAGUCCUAGCCCUAAACGAUGACUGCUUGGUGUGACGGGUACCCAAUCCCGCCGUGCCGUAGCUAACGCGUUAAGCAGUCCGCCUGGGGAGUACGGUCGCAAGGCUGAAACUCAAAG
rnacentral:rRNA from 1 species